rnacentral:rRNA from 1 species
CAAUAGCGUAUAUUAACGUUGUUGCAGUUAAAAAGCUCGUAGUUGGAUUUCUGGAGGGAGCGUCGGCCCGUAUUUACGAGUGCGUGACGUCUCUGUCCAUCCUUGCGGGAAGGCACGGCAUUGAUUUGUUGUGUCGGAUCGCAUCAUUUACUGUGAAAAAAUUAGAGUGUUCAAAGCAGGCUUUCGCUUGAAUACAUUAGCAUGGAAUAAUAAGAUAGGACUUUGGUGCUAUUUUGUUGGUUGAGCCUAAAGUAAUGAUUAAUAGGGAUAGUUGGGGGCACCUGUAUUGCGUUGUCAGAGGUGAAAUUCUUGGAUUUACGCAAGACAAACAGCUGCGAAANGGNNNGCGAAGGAUGUUUUCAUNAA